GACAGGAUGGCCGAGCGGUCUAAGGCGCCAGACUCAAGGUUCCCUUGCCCGCUCAGCGGGUUGAGUUGUUCUGGUCCUCUCUGAGGGCGUGGGUUUGAAUCCCACUUCUGACA
rnacentral:tRNA from 1 species